CAUGUGCUUUUUUUGGUUUUGUUGCACAUGAACAAUUGUAUGAUGGGUUGAAAACUUGAGUUUCUGGAAGGCCUUCGUUUUCAGCUGCUGGCAUAUGCCAGAGAAUCUAAAUAUUAAAUCAGAUGGAAACCAGCAGCUUGAAAAUGUGCAAUCUGCUCUGUGCUGAAAUGCACAUCUGUCUGAGUGCCGCAGAUCCUUGGCUCCCACUAAGGUUGUCUGAGAUAACAAAAGAGCGUGUUUUGAAAGCUCUGAGCGUUUUUUUUUUAAUGUGCAAAGUACUGAAUUGACUGUUCUGAAACCAAGUGUCCUGUUUUUCCGUGAAAACAGAUGUAGCAGAAUGAGAACAGAACAUAGAUCAACCAGCUUUCCUUACGGUGUUGAACCACCAUGCUCCAGACCUCUUGGGACUUCAGGGGGAGCCAAGGAUGUGCUCAGUACCUUGAGGACUGGUCUUGAAGAGAGUGAUCAGGCAGGCUUGGUGUGCAUCGGCAAGAGAAGAGCUCGGGUACUGAUUUGUGCCAACAACAGAAAGUGUGCUUGAGGACUUCUCCCAUGACUCUUCCACUGAUGCUGUGUCUGAGAUACACUUAAUUGGUUGUUAAAUGGUUAAUGAAGUCAGGGUUAACAUCAUGCAAUGUCCCUAAAGCUGAUGAAGAACUACUCAUUUUCUGCCCCUGAAAGGAAGAUGAACCAUUACUAUGAACUUCAGGGUCUUUCAUACAAGCAUGAGCAAUUAACAUCAGUCGUUCAAGAUCACACCUGCUCAUGAUCAUGCAGAGAAUUCUCAUUUGCUGGAUAAAACUUCUAAUAUCACCUCCUUACGGACAAAGAUGGAGUUCACGCAGCAAAAUCGUGCUGGAGAGUAAACACAACAACACAAGCAAAGCCCCGUGGCCUUUGAGUUGCAAAGUACUGUGGUGGGUAUGUGUGGAUCUAGAUGUCAAAUUAAUUAUCUGAGGCUUAAUUAGCUGUAAUUGAAGUGACCUAUAAUUUCAUAUUACUUGACUGGCAUCUACUAACAGAUGCCCUUUUCCUGUCUACUUCUGACUUCCUUUCCCUUAAAAAGGUGCUGUUGCUAAUAAGAGAUCUAUGGAAAUGGCAGAAAAUUUACAGUUAUUUCCGCAUCUAUUUCCCUUUAUGAAGAACAUGAGCCCAUCUGACUUUGAGAACAUCCUAGCAGACGAGGUUCUGGUCCUCCUGCUUAGAGAUGCGUCUAAUUAGUGCUAAUGAACUAGCUGACCUGUGGUGAAUUCUUACUGAUGAAUAGCCUCCAGUUCUGCCUCAUGGUGACAAGCCACCCAUAUGAGUUCUGCACCUGAUUCCUCCUCCUCAUGACAAAUUUAUCUGUUCUUAACGCAGGAUAAUAACCUUUACUGACAGUAAUAUUAUUUCCCUAUGCUUGAUCAUACAGUCCUCAUAGGGCUGCUGCAAGCACACAGCUGUAUUAAAAGUACAGCUACACAGCAUGUGUGCGUGGACUGUUCUUUAAAAUAGUUCAUCUGACCAAAACAAAAUAACUUCUUGCUGCUCAGAUUUAGGAAGUGUUCAAACACAGUUAAGGAAUGGAUUUUCUUCAUCGCUUUGUCCCAUCAUUCUUCUUGCCUUCCGCUGAGCCAGUGUGCAAUGGCAGCACCUGAGUCUCAUCUGUUUAAUUUGCUGGGAGGAUAUCACCAGGGCAGUCACACCAAGAGCCUCUUCUGGGAGCUGGGCAGCAAUCUGAUGUAUUUGUUAAUAGAGUCACACUGACAGGAUCCUCUAUGAUAUAAAUGAUUGGAGAAGUAGCAGUGUUCUCAGCGAGGGCUAGCAGGUAAUCGUGCAAUAAAUUAAAAAAUAAAAAGGGGGAAAUAGUUGCC
rnacentral:lncRNA from 1 species